rnacentral:lncRNA from 1 species
GUUGGCUGUCUAAUCAUUAUAAUGAUUUAUAUUUAGUCUCGAUACAUAUUUUGUUUGUUGAAUUGUUCUUGGCUUUGAACCAGCUGUCAGUAAUUGUGAGAACUGUCUUUUGUGUUAAAUGUAUUUCUAUUUAGAUCCAUCUGAUGAGUCAAUCCUUUUUCAACUGAUUUUUUUAGUUUAUUCUUAUGAUUGUUGUACUGUUUACAACUGUCCAUGGUUUUAGGAAGGGUUUAAUUGCUUACAAACAUGUUUUACCCAGAAACAUUCUUGGAGUCUUUUCUUAGUCUGGAGCCUGUAGCUCAGUGGUUGUCAUUUGUUCACAUGUCAUAUCUGUUUUGUUGAAAUUGUUUUUUUUAUAAAUAAGGCCAUUAGUUGUUUGAUAUUUUUCAUGUCAGGGCCUUGUAAAGCCAACCAUAUGGUAUGGGUUUUCUCAUUGUUAAGGCUAUAUGUUUGCCUAUAUAAAUUGCUUGCAUCAACUUCAUAUGAACUUU